GAGGGUAGAGCUCAGUGGGAGAGCUUGUGCUUAGCAUGCACGAGGUCCUGGGUUCAAUCCCCAGCAGCUCCA
rnacentral:tRNA from 1 species